rnacentral:rRNA from 1 species
GGGCGAAAGCCUGACGGAGCAACGCCGGGUGCGGGAUGACGCGUUUCGGCGUAUAAACCGCUGUUCAUGGGGUCGAAGCACUGACGGUACCCAUGGAGGAAGGCCCGGCUAACUACGUGCCAGCAGCCGCGGUAAUACGUAGGGGUCAUGCGUUGUCCGGAGUUACUGGGCGUAAAGCGCGCGCAGGUGGCUCAUUACGCCCGGCGUGAAAGACCCCGGCUCAACCGGGGAGGGUCGUCGUGUACGGGUGAGCUUGAGGGUAUCAGGGGCUGGUGGAAUUCCCGGUCUAGUGGUGAAAUGCGUAGAGAUCGGGAGGAACACCCGUGGCGAAGGCGGCCAGCU